UGGGGGAUAUUGCACAAUGGGCGAAAGCCUGAUGCAGCGACGCCGCGUGGGGGAUGAAGGCCUUCGGGUUGUAAACUUCUUUUGCUCUGAACAAGGCGCACCAUGGGGUGUGUUGAGUGUAGGGGUUGAUUAGCGCCGGCUAACUACGUGCCAGCAGCCGCGGUAAUACGUAGGGCGCGAGCGUUGUCCGGAAUUAUGUGGCGUAAAGGGCUUGUAGGUGGCUGGUUGCGUCUGUCGUGAAAGCUCAUGGCUUAACUGUGGGUUUGCGGUGGGUACGGGCUGGCUAGAGUGCAGUAGGGGAGGCUGGAAUUCCUGGUGUAGCGGUGGAAUGCGCAGAUAUCAGGAGGAAUACCGGUGGCGAAGGCGGGUCUCUGGGCGGUUACUGACACUGAGGAGCGAAAGCAUGGGGAGCGAACAGG
rnacentral:rRNA from 1 species